GUUCUAUGAUGGGCUGGCCAAAUGAUGCUAAAAUAUGUUUUUGCUGAGUCUUUCUUUGAAGACUAACAAAAUCGAGCUUUUUAAAACUGAUGGUUG
rnacentral:snoRNA from 1 species